AAUGUGUGCUCUUCCGAUCUGAAAUGAUACCCUGGGAUGGAUGUAAAGCCAAGCAAAUUGCUUCCGCGCCGAGAACCAAAGAUUGUGUGGGUUGUAAGAGAUGUGAAUCUGCCUGCCCGACAGAUUUUUUAAGUGUCCGCGUUUAUUUAGGGCCUGAAACAACAUGUAGCAUGGCUCUAUCUUAUUCAUACGUUACAAAAAACUUCACUCGAAUCAUCUGAUUCCACUUUACCGAAGAAGCCUGUGCUCGAAAUAAUCGAGCAAGGGCUUUUCUGGUCAAAAUGUAUCUUGUCUUUAUCACUUUAUCAUGAGUUAUUUUCCUUGGUUAACAAUACUUGUUGUUUUGCCGAUAUUUGCAGUUUCAUUAAUUUUCUUUUUACCUCAUAAGGGAAACAAAGUCGUUAGGUGGUAUACUAUAUCUAUUUGUUUAUUAGAAUUCCUUCUAAUGACUUAUGCGUUCUGUUAUCAUUUCCAACUGGAGGAUCCCUUAAUCCAAUUAAAGGAGGAUUAUAAAUGGAUAGAUGUCUUCGAUUUCCACUGGAGAUUGGGAAUCGAUGGACUUU